CCUACGGGUGGCAGCAGUCGAGAAUCAUUCACAAUGGGGGAAACCCUGAUGGUGCGACGCCGCGUGGGGGAAUGAAGGUCUUCGGAUUGUAAACCCCUGUCAUGUGGGAGCAAAUUAAAAAGGUAGUACCACAAGAGGAAGAGACGGCUAACUCUGUGCCAGCAGCCGCGGUAAUACAGAGGUCUCAAGCGUUGUUCGGAAUCACUGGGCGUAAGGCGUGCGUAGGCUGUUUCGUAAGUCGUGUGUGAAAGGCGCGGGCUCAACCCGCGGACGGCCCAUGAUACUGCGAGACUAGAGUAAUGGAGGGGGAACCGGAAUUCUCGGUGUAGCAGUGAAAUGCGUAGAUAUCGAGAGGAACACUCGUGGCGAAGGCGGGUUCCUGGACAUUAACUGACGCUGAGGUACGAAGGCCAGGGGAGCGAAAGGGAUUAGAUACCCUUGUAGUC
rnacentral:rRNA from 1 species